CAGUAAAUAGUUUAAUAAAAAUUUUAAUUUUGGAGAUUAAUGAUAAGCCUAGCUUUUUACUGA
rnacentral:tRNA from 1 species